CACGUAGGGUGCGAGCGUUGUCCGGAAUUAUUGGGCGUAAAGAGCUCGUAGGCGGUGUGUCGCGUCGGCCGUGAAAACCUGCAGCUUAACUGUGGGCUUGCGGUCGAUACGGGCAUCACUGGAGUUCGGCAGGGGAGACUGGAAUUCCUGGUGUAGCGGUGAAAUGCGCAGAGUAUCAGGAGGAACACCGGUGGCGAAGGCGGGUCUCUGGGCCGAUACUGACGCUGAGGAGCGAAAGCGUGGGGAGCGAACAGG
rnacentral:rRNA from 1 species